ACUUCGUUAGGUUUGAACGGAAAUCCUUUUUUGUGGCUGGAAAAGCUAUGGCAAAAAGAUUGGGAGUGGAAGACGGAUCAAGC
rnacentral:misc_RNA from 1 species